AACGUAGGAGGCAAGCGUUAUCCGGAUUUACUGGGCGUAAAGCGCGUGUAGGUGGAUCGGUAAGUUACUUAUAAAAGCUCCUGGCUAAACUAGGAGAGGUUGAGUGAUACUGCCAGUCUUGAAUAGAGGAGAGGUUGACGGAAUUCCGCGUGUAGUGGUGAAAUGCGUAGAGAUGCGGAAGAACACCAGUGGCGAAGGCGGUCAACUGGCCUCAUAUUGACACUCAGACGCGAAGGCAUGGGUAGCGAACGGG
rnacentral:rRNA from 1 species